rnacentral:rRNA from 1 species
AGCCUGAACGCUGGCGGCGUGGCUAAGACAUGCAAGUCGAACGGGUGUAGCAAUACACCAGUGGCGGACGGGUGAGUAAUAAAUCGCUAAUGUACCCCGGAGCCAGGGAUAGCCUUCCGAAAGGGAGGGUAAUACCUGAUGAGACCACGAACAGGCAUCUGUUUGUGCUCAAAGCCGUAAGGCACUCUGGGAGCAGGCGAUUACGUAUCAGCUUGUUGGUGAGGUAACGGCUCACCAAGGCGACGACGCGUAGCUGGU